rnacentral:misc_RNA from 1 species
GGGAUACUAAGGCGUCGAAAGACCAGGGCUAAGGAAAUGGAGAAAAAAGCUCUUAAACCACGCAAGCCGUACUUGCACCUCUCUCGCCAUCUCCAUGCUUUGCGCCGACCUAGGGGCUGUGGUGGUCGUUUCUUGAACACAAGGAAUAUGAAUGGAACUAUGAAGGCUGGAAAAACCAACAAUAUGUUCAAGACAGGCGAUGUUCAAAACUUUUACCCCACCGGAUCCCAGAAUUCUGAAGUGCUGCAGUCUGAUAGCAGCAAUUUGAGCUCACCAAAAGAAACAUCUGGCAGUAGGUUCUUCGAUUCAUCAGGGGUCGCUAACAUGUACUCUAGUGACAAUCUUGAUCCUUUUCUGUUCCAAAACCUGAGGCCUCCGGUCCAGGCAAUACCGGACAUGAUGAAUACUGGACACGGUAUUUUCGUGUCUGGUAAGUGGGUUUGCACAGCAGAUAGCUGUUGCAACCUCAAAGUAUGAUAGCCUUGGCUUGAGAAAGAGGUCAGGUGUCACGAGUUGAGCCUCACCUCAUCCGUGCUACAACCUAAUGCAUACACAUUUGGUUGCUGCAAUUGCCGGACCAUCCUUGGCUAUCAUGGGCAGUUCAUCCUUGGCUUAGCAUUAACGCGGUGCCUAUAUCGUUCUAUUGCUAUCAAGCAACGUGGAUGGUAAGAGGCACUAAAGCCUUAAUGCUACUUUAUUUUCAGCACUUUGUUGGAUAAAUAAGCUUGUUUUCGAUGAGAUGAUGACGAUGACGACCCUGUCGAUCGGGGGUCUCUGAUGUUGCAGUGUGUUUGGAUUACUGUUUUGUGAUGUUGGUUUGUGAAAACUACAAUGAUGUAUGAUUGAACUUGAUCCAAA